AUCAGCCGACUGUUCUUCCUCGGACUCUUCCAAAAUCAUUCUUAGAUAAUGGUUGAAAAAAAUGAAUCUACAUUUUGUCUGGCUGAAGACAUAAAACUUAGCGCUCUUGGGAGGCAACCCAAUAUGUAAAUAUUAUAAAAAAAAUAUAUUUCAAUAAAUUACUAACAUACAGGUUUGUAGGUUUUUGCCUCAAUUGUCAAUUUACCUAUCCAUAUCAGGUAACUUCUCCUCUGUCCUAUUACUACUUUAAAUUUUCUUUAACAUUGAGGACAAUGUUAGAUUUAGGUAUGGGGGUGAAAAUAUUUUUGAUUUUUCUGCCUAAAAAGAUAAAAAAAAGGGGAUUUCAAAUUUUUAACUCAAAAUCUAAUCUUUUUGGCUGUAUAAACUAGGAAUUGCUUUGACAAUAGCUUUGAGUUAAGAAAUAUGAUAGCAGUUCUAGCUUGAGUUUUCGUUCCACCUAUCUUCUGCUAACAUGAUAGAAGAUGAUUUAGCACCUACACGUAAGCACAUGAAUAGUGGGGUAUGUAAACUUGCAACUAAUAUGAAUACUUUUAAUCUUCUGGAUAAUUUAAAGUUAGAUAUGUGAUGAACACACUAAAAAAAAAAGAAAAAAGAAAGGAGUUUAUUUUAAGUCUUCUCACUGAGUAACCGGGCCUCUUGCCUGGCAAGCAGCGAGUGUUCGCAUGAAAAGGUGAAAAUGACUUAGAUUAAACUCUGAGUGACUAAUUCGGCCUUGGAGCCUGGUUGACUUGAGUUAUUAAGCCUGUUAGGGUGUCUUUACACCUAGUGCCCUGAGCCAUCUGGAUGGGGAGUCAUUGGCCUAACACUCGCUAUAUGGGUUAGCUAGAAAGCUUAUUAAGGCUAGAUAUUGUACAAGUCAUUCUUCUUAGCAUUCAAUCUGAAUUAAAAAAAUAAAAUAAAAAAAUAAUAAUAAUAAAUAAAUUUGGGAUGUUUAUUACCAUUUAACUAUAGAAAGUC
rnacentral:lncRNA from 1 species